CCCCAUGACAGGUGUCUCUCACUCCUCCUGUCCCCCAUGACAGGUGUCUCUCUCUCUCUCUCCUGUGUGUUCCAGGGAUGAGGGAUUCACCGUCGAAAAAUGUUCGCAUUUCAACCUGAUCAUUUUCAAGUUUCUUUCACACUGAAAUGAAGUGCAUGACUCAGGUCACACUCCUGCAUCCUUAUGUGACAUAUGAUCUGAGUUGUCCUGAAAAAAUAGAUGUUAUGGACUGUGAUUGUUUUUCAAAAGGAAAACGCAAAGGUGUGAAACAAAAAUCAGUUUCCAGCAGCUGUUGGUGGUAAAGUGUCCAGUGCCCACCACAGCCAGAGAGAAAGCUGCUGAAUAUUUUGAAUUUCCCUCGGGAUUAAUAAAGCGUCUGUCCGUCGAGUCGUCGGAUCCUCUUGAUCCUCAUCAGGGUCAUGGGGGGCUGGAGUCUAUCCCAGCUGACUGCGGGUGAAGGCAGGGGACACCUGGACAGGGGGAGGUGGUGCACUGGCUGGCCUGUUGGCUGGAUGCAGCCUGCAGGAAGGGCUCCACUCCCACAGUGGGUAAAGGACUGAUGGAGGGAGGAUCCUUCACUCGUCCAAACUCAGUCUGAUCCAGUUCUUCUCUAAGAUGAGGAAGUGGGCCGACAUGUCCAACCUCUCGCAGGACUUCAGGCUACAAAUGGAUGGCUGGAGCGAAACUUUGAGGUCUCCACCAUGAUCUUCCGCAAGUUUGAUGUCUUGAUUUAGUAAUGAGUCGUGGCCCCUCCAGUCAGGAAGCAGCAGCGGAGAGCUCUCUGGAUCAGGAGAGGCCCAGGCCGAGGCCCUGUGGUGGGGACACCACCUGCAGGUGGCGCUGGUCAACACGGUGGCCUUCAGGGGCAUCUGGCAGAAGCAGUUUCUGUUCACCAACUCCCAGAACCUGCCCUUCAUCCUGUCUGAUUCGACUCCCAUCAAGGUGCCCAUGAAGUACCAGGCUGCAGAGGUCAGCUUUGGUAAGAGACCAGAAUCAUCCACUGGAUGAGCUUCUAGGAUGUAGUUAGAAGGAACUGUUCAGUUUAGUUAUAGAGUGUAUAUACAGUGUAU